GGGAAGAAAGCAUGUAUGCGAUUAACUUGAAAUUAAUAGAUGACAGUUUAGGUUCUGUCUCUUCUCG
rnacentral:tRNA from 1 species